rnacentral:rRNA from 1 species
AUUGAACGCUGGCGGCAUGCUUUACACAUGCAAGUCGAACGGGCUGAGGGGGCAACCCUUCAGUCAGUGGCGGACGGGUGAGUAAUGCAUCGGAACGUGUCCCGUAGUGGGGGAUAACCCGGCGAAAGCCGGACUAAUACCGCAUAUGCUCUACGGAGGAAAGCGGGGGACCUGAAAGGGCCUCGCGCUAUGGGAGCGGCCGAUGUCCGAUUAGCUUGUUGGUGGGGUAAUGGCCACCAAGGCGACGAUCGGUAGCUGGUCUGAGAGGAUGAUCAGCCACACUGGGACUGAGACACGGCCCAGACUCCUACGGGAGGCAGCAGUGGGGAAUUUUGGACAAUGGGGCAACCCUGAUCCAGCCAUGCCGCGUGCGGGAAGAAGGCC